rnacentral:rRNA from 1 species
AUUGAACGCUGGCGGCAGGCCUAACACAUGCAAGUCGAGCGAGCGGCGGACGGGUGAGUAAUGUAUGGGGACUGCCCGAUAGAGGGGGAUAACUACUGGAAACGGUAGCUAAUACCGAAUACUAUCGGAUAACCCAUAUGGGAUUAGCUAGUAGGUGAGGUAAUGGCCAACCGAGGCGACGAUCCCUAGCGGGUCUGAGAGGAUGAUCAGCCACACUGGGACUGAGACACGGCCCAGACUCCUACGGAGGCAGCAGUGGGGAAUAUUUCACAAUGGGCGCAAGCCUGAUGCAGCCAUGCCGCGUGUAUGAAGAAGGCCAUAGGGAUGUAAAGUACUUUCAGUCGGGAGGCGUUACCGACAGAAGAAGCACCGGCUAACUCCGUGCCAGCAGCCGCGGUAAUUC